rnacentral:rRNA from 1 species
CCUACGGGUGGCAGCAGUGAGGAAUAUUGGUCAAUGGCCGGAAGGCUGAACCAGCCAUGCCGCGUGAAGGUCAGUGCCCUAUGGGCGUUAAACUUCUUUUUUGCGGGAGCAAUAAUGGUCACGUGUGGCCAGACGAGAGUACCGUACGAAUAAGCAUCGGCUAACUCCGUGCCAGCAGCCGCGGUAAUCCGGGUGAGGCAAGCGGUAUCCGGAUUUAUUGGGUUUAAAGGGUGCGUAGGCUGUGAGGUAAGUCAUCGGUGGAAUUCCCCCGGUCAACGGGGUGAAGUGCCAUUGAUACUGGCUUGCUGGAAUGCGGAGGCAGUGGGAGGAAUGUGUGGUGUAGCGGUGAAAUGCAUAGAUAUCACACAGAACACCGAUUGCGAAGGCAUCUCACGAAUCCGCGAUUGACGCUGAUGCACGAAAGCGUGGGUAUCAAACAGGAUUAGAUACCCCGGUAGUC